rfam:Schistosoma haematobium scaffold545_23, whole genome shotgun sequence.
GUCCAGCUGACGAGUCCCAAACAGGACGAAACGCGCAUCCUGGAU